AUCAUUUUAGAGUGUCCAAGGUGCUUGUAGAAGGAAGAGAUCAGCUCGCAGACUAGUAUCUUCGAGCCCCUGAUUUGCGUCAGUCUUUGCAUGGAUUUUUCUAUAGAAAUCAGAUGACUUCGUGUGUCUGUGAGCAACUUGAGAAACACCCUCUCCAACCAUUGGACUAAAGGAGAUCAAGAUUGAAAUUUAUUUGAUAAUGAUC
rnacentral:lncRNA from 1 species